rnacentral:rRNA from 1 species
UACGAGGGGUGCAAACGUUGCUCGGAAUUAUUGGGCGUAAAGCGCACGUAGGCGGCAUUGCAAGUCGGAUGUGAAAUCUUAUGGCUUAACCAUAAAAGUGCAUCCGAAACUGCAGUGCUUGAGUACUUAAGAGGAUCGCGGAAUUCCCGGUGUAGAGGUGAAAUUCGUAGAUAUCGGGAGGAACACCAGUGGCGAAGGCGGCAUCCUGGACCGGUAUUGACGCUGAGGCGCGAAAGCUAGGGUAGCAAACGGG